UACGUAGGGUGCGAGCGUUAAUCGGAAUUACUGGGCGUAAAGCGUGCGUAGGCGGUUCGUUAAGUUCGUUGUGAAAGCCCCGGGCUCAACCUGGGAAUGGCAAUGGAAACUGGCGGGCUUGAGUAUGGCAGAGGGGGGUGGAAUUCCGCGUGUAGCAGUGAAAUGCGCAGAUAUCGGGAGGAACACCAAUGGCGAAGGCAGCUCGCUGGGACGGUACUGACGCUGAGACGCGAAAGCGUGGGGAGCAAACAGG
rnacentral:rRNA from 1 species